UACGUAGGGGGGCAAGCGUUGUCCGGAUUUAUUGGGCGUAAAGAGCGUGUAGGCGGCUUUACAGGUCCGUUGUGAAAACUCAAGGCUCAACCUCGAGACGCCGGUGGAAACCGUAAAGCUAGAGUCCGGAAGAGGAGAGUGGAAUUCCUGGUAUAGCGGUGAAAUGCGCAGAUAUCAGGAAGAACACCCGUGGCGAAGGCGGCUCUCUGGGACGGUACUGACGCUGAGACGCGAAAGCGUGGGGAGCGAACAGG
rnacentral:rRNA from 1 species